ensembl:lncRNA
CUUCUCCUCUUCUUCCUCGCUGUCCUCCUCCUCCAACUACUACUAAAAAUUCUCUUCCUCCUCCUCCUUCUACUACUACUGAUAAUAAUUUCUAUGGUGCAUUUCCAAAGCCCAAGACCCCUUUACAAAUUCACAAUCACAGUGUGUAAUACACAAACUUUAUCAAACACGAGUUUGGUUAACACAAACCUGACAUUAUUUAUCUUUUCUUUUUUCUUCCUUUUUUUUAUUUUAUUUUUUUACUUUUUUGUUGAACCUACAUGUUUUACUUCUGCAUUUAAUUUAAACACAUCUAUCUUAGUUAGGGAUUAAACAGAUGAAAAUUCUCACCGUCCAUCAGAGUAAAAUGAUCCUUAACAGGCUCUGGGUCAAACAGCAAGUCUAGAGGUGUGUUUUCAUUAGCCAUCUCUCUACAACACAGAGAAAUAACACACACUUUACCCACUUGUACUGUAAGUGUAUACAGUGUGUGUUUGUCUUUCCCCAUGUUGAAAGUGCACCGUUAAUCCACAUGCUCAUUAAUUCCUACCUUUCUAUAACAGGUGCGCUCAGAGCUCUUCCAAUCAGAACCGAGACCAGAAACAACCUUAUGAAAGUGUUGCUUUUGAGCAGCAUGAUGGCCCAGGAACUUCAGUGUGAUGAAGAUGGUCCUCACUGCAAACCUGACUGUGAUGAUUAUACAGUAGACCUGGGACAUACAGUCUUUAAUAGGGAGGUUUGAUUAAAACUCCUUACGUCCACUUUGAAAUGAACCCGUGAGUAAAACAUUUUUGGCUGCAAGGACAUGAAGAGACAGCCGCACUUUCCUGACAGAGAACUGUGCACAGCCUAUCAAAAACAGCGUACGCAAAUGUGUUUGACUUGCCGAAUUACUGGAGAACGCAGUUUGAG